AUGCAAGUCGCGGGGCAGCAUGGGGGUUGCUUGCAAUCCCCGAUGGCGACCGGCGCACGGGUGAGUAACGCGUAUCCAACCUGCCCUUCACCACGGGAUAACCCGGCGAAAGUCGGACUAAUACCGUAUGUUGUCCAUUGACGGCAUCCGAUUUGGACGAAAGGCUUUGCGGUGAAGGAUGGGGAUGCGUCCGAUUAGCCAGACGGCGGGGUAACGGCCCACCGUGGCUACGAUCGGUAGGGGUUCUGAGAGGAAGGUCCCCCACACUGGAACUGAGACACGGUCCAGACUCCUACGGGAGGCAGCAGUGAGGAAUAUUGGUCAAUGGGCGUAAGCCUGAACCAGCCAAGUAGCGUGCAGGAUGACGGCCCUAUGGGUUGUAAACUGCUUUUAUGCGGGGAUAAAGUGGCCCACGUGUGGGCUUUUGCAGGUACCGCAUGAAUAAGGACCGGCUAAUUCCGUGCCAGCAGCCGCGGUAAUACGGAAGGUCCGGGCGUUAUCCGGAUUUAUUGGGUUUAAAGGGAGCGUAGGCCGCGCCUUAAGCGUGUUGUGAAAUCCGGGUGCUCAACAUCCGGCUUGCAGCGCGAACUGGGGCGCUUGAGUGCGCUGAAAGUAGGCGGAAUUCGUGGUGUAGCGGUGAAAUGCUUAGAUAUCACGAGGAACUCCGAUUGCGAAGGCAGCCUACUGUAGCGCUACUGACGCUGAUGCUCGAAAGCGUGGGUAUCGAACAGGAUUAGAUACCCUGGUAGUCCACGCGGUAAACGAUGGAUGCUCGUUGUCGGCCCCUUGGGUCGGUGACCAAGCGAAAGCGUUAAGCAUCCCA
rnacentral:rRNA from 1 species